UGUCUGGUCUGUACUGACGCUGAGCUCGAAAGUAUGGGUAGCAAACAGGAUUAGAUACCUGGUAGUCCAUACCGUAAACGAUGAAUGCUAAGUGUUGGAGGGUUUCCCCCUUCAGUGCUGCAGCUAACGCAUUAAGCAUUCCGCUGGGGAGUACGGCCGCAAGGCUGAAACUCAAAGGAAUUGACGGGGGCCCGCACAAGCGGUGGAGCAUGUGGUUUAAUUCGAAGCUACGCGAAGAACCUUACCAGGUCUUGACAUACUAUGCAAAUCUAAGAGAUUAGACGUUCCCUUCGGGGACAUGGAUACAGGUGGUGCAUGGUUGUCGUCAGCUCGUGUCGUGAGAUGUUGGGUUAAGUCCCGCAACGAGCGCAACCCUUAUUAUCAGUUGCCAGCAUUAAGUUGGGCACUCUGGUGAGACUGCCGGUGACAAACCGGAGGAAGGUGGGGAUGACGUCAAAUCAUCAUGCCCCUUAUGACCUGGGCUACACACGUGCUACAAUGGAUGGUACAACGAGUUGCGAACUCGCGAGAGUAAGCUAAUCUCUUAAAGCCAUUCUCAGUUCGGAUUGUAGGCUGCAACUCGCCUACAUGAAGUCGGAGUCGCUAGUAAUCGCGGAUCAGCAUGCCGCGGUGAAUACGUUCCCGGGCCUUGUACACACCGCCCGUCACACCAUGAGAGUUUGUAACACCCAAAGUCGGUGGGGUAACCUUUAGGAACCAGCCGCCUAAGGUGGGACAGAUGAUUAGGGUGAAGUCGUAACAAGGUAACCA
rnacentral:rRNA from 1 species